AAAUCCUUCUUCAGUUUCCUUCUGAUUUCGUUAUUCACCAACUUUCCCUUGAUGUCUUUCUUUUUGGUAGUUUAACUUCUCUUGUUCCCUUUUUUUGAAUAGCUGGGUGUAUAAUAUUUGAUUUUGCUGAUUUUUGUGUCUUUUAAAUAAAUAGAGAUGACCUUGUUUAAUCAUGGAAAAUAUUUCACAUUGCUAAAAUAGUUUCUUAGGACAGUGUCUAGCACUACCCAAUCCAAUUCUUGUUUAUGCUUACAAAUAAUAUUAUUGUUGUAUUAUUAUUGUUAUUUUUUCGGUGUCAUUUUCCAAUAAAAACAUGACCCGCCCAACUUGCACUCGUCCAUUUGUUAAACUCAAUUCAUCUUGACCCAAUCCAUCUUAGCCUAUCUAAAGUUGGGCUAGCUUUUAGCUCAAAUUGAUCCAAGAGUAACUUUGCCAAAAAAAAAUUCAAAAGAUUAUAUAUAUAUAUAUAUAUAUAAUCUUGUUUGGUAAUUAAAAAAUUCAUAAGAAUAACACAUGAAAUAUUAAUCAAAGCUUGGUAUGAGUUGGGCCGAUUGGGCCAUGACUCAAAUUUUAGCUUAUCUUAACACAAUCCAGGCCUAAUAGCUUUUGGGCUGGUCAAUGACCCACCAAUUUGUUGUCUCGCUCAUUUUAACAGUCAAAAAUCAAUCUAACCCGCCCAUUUAACGUCUCUAUCUGGGUGACCGGGCGAGACUUUAUUCUUGUGAGGCUUAUGCUCAAAGGUCCUACUGUAUCCCAAAACACGUCUCACGCUUUCUACAAGAAAUAUGAUUUUCUGUGACGACUUUUUGCAGUGACUUAGUUGCCACAAAAAACAGAGUUUCUCUGGCGACGUCGAAAUAUUACCACAAAAUGAUAUUGUUAGCGGCGAAAGUUACAGUCGCUACAGAAAAUAACAUAUAUAGUGGCGACAGUGUGUAGGUCGAUACAAAAAUUUACUAGUUUUUACAAUAAAAUAUGGCUGGAAAUGUAUUGUGGCGACCUCAAAUAUGUCGCUGGUAAAGACCUUGUUGUGGCGAUGUUAUCGCUCCUAAAAGUGGAGUUUUUGUGGCAUAUUAUAUAUCGCCACUAAUUAUUUUAUUUUGAGGUUGAUUACUAUUUUUAUUUAUAUAUUAAUUUUACUAUUAGUUGAAAUUAAUAAGUUCAUGUAUUUUUUGUCCCUUAAUAUUGCUAAAUAAGUAUUUAAAUUAAUUUUAUUUUUCUAUACACAUAUAAAUAUAAAUACUCAUAUAUUGAAAAGGUUUAACAAUAUUAGAGUUAUUUAACUAAGUACUUGAAAUAAUUUCAUAUAUUGUAUAACAGUUAGUUCAUCAAAAAGUCAUUUUAGUUCCAAUUUAGAUAAUCCAAAAAAUAGAAAAAAAAAGCAAAAGAAAUCGAAACAUAACUCGUCUGGGCCCUUCAUAUUUCGUCUUUAUCUAAAAGUAGUUUAGAGUUCCUGUCUUAACUCGCAUUGUUCACCAUCAGAGACACAAUUUCUCUUGGCCAAGAAGAAAACUCAUCUAAUUUAUGAAAAGAGGAUGAGAUUUAAAGGAGGCAGCAGAGGUCUACAUCCCAGAAGUUGAAGUUUGAGUAACAUUAAUUAAGGUAAAAUCGUUUUUUUUUUGUGUUGGUUUGAUUCAUUUUCUUUUUGGGGCAAUUUGACUUUUCUCUUGCACAUCACUAUUCAUGAAAGACUCACGUUUCCCGUCAAUUCCAAUUUCUGUGCUACCAAAGCAACAGAAUAAAAAAAUUCCAACAAUUUCAAUUCUUGCUGACUUUUUAUUUCUAGGGUUUCGUUGAUUCUCGCAAAUAUUGUUGCAUCGAGGUAAGCUGAAGUCACACCUUUCUAACUUAGGGUUUCGUUAUUACAUCGUUCCUGCAUUUUGUCAAACUUUUGGCUCUCUAAACAACUAUCGCUUUGUUGCCCUUGAAGUUUUUGGCUCUGUUCAUUUCUGCUUAUAGAACAGGUGGCCAGCCGCCACCAGUGCCACUUUUCUUCAAUUUGAGAAAAUACCCUUGAAGUUUUUGGUUCUGUUCAUUUCUGCUUAUAGAACAGGUGGCCAGCUGCCACCAGUGCCACUUUUCUUUAAUUUGAGAAAAUCUCCUUUGUUGAGGUUAAGUCAAAACUAGUCCUUGUUCUUAUGGUUAUCAUUUAUGUUCUGCUUUUAUGAUGAAUUUUACUUAGCCACUGAAUUGUAUAUGUAUUGUUACUACAUCUAAUUAGUUGUUUCCUUACAUUUUUAUUUCUAUCAGUUCUUUGUUCUGCUUUUCUUUUGUUUAUUUCAAUUCUCUUCCGGCGACCCCUGCUCUUUUCUUCCUAUUCUCUCUUUUGCUUUUUGCGGGUGUGUGUGGGUGUGUUCUGUUUUCUUGGACAGGUGCCUUAUUUU
rnacentral:lncRNA from 1 species